GUUACUGCUAUCGGAGUUCGAGUAAGCCAUGCGAGUCUAAAGGUUACUUUCGGGAAGCCUUGGCGGACUGCUCAGUAACACGUGGAUAACCUACCCUUAGGACUGGGAUAACCCCGGGAAACUGGGGAUAAUACCGGAUAGAUCAAGGAUGCUGGAAUGCACCUUGAUCCAAAGCUCCGGCGCCUAAGGAUGGGUCUGCGGCCUAUCAGGUUGUAGUGGGUGUAACGUACCUACUAGCCGACGACGGGUACGGGUUGUGAGAGCAAGAGCCCGGAGAUGGAUUCUGAGACACGAAUCCAGGCCCUACGGGGUGCAGCAGGCGCGAAACCUUUACAAUGUGCGAAAGCAUGAUAAGGGGACUCCGAGUGCCAGCAUCUAAUGUUGGCUGUCCUUGUGCCAAAAAGCACAAGAUAGCAAGGGCCGGGUAAGACCGGUGCCAGCCGCCGCGGUAACACCGGCGGCCCGAAUGGUAGCCGCUAUUAUUGGGUCUAAAGGGUCCGUAGCCGGUUCGGUAAGUCCUCUGGGAAAUCUGGUUGCUUAACAAUCAGACUGCCAAGGGAUACUGCUGAACUUGAGACCGGGAGAGGUAAGAGGUACUUCAGGGGUAGGAGUGAAAUCUUGUGAUCCCUGGGGGACCAUCUGUGGCGAAGGCGUCUUACCAGAACGGGUCUGACGGUGAGGGACGAAAGCUGGGGGCGCAAACCGGAUUAGAUACCCGGGUAGUCCCAGCCGUAAACGAUGCUCGCUAUGUGUCAGGUACGGUGCGACCGUAUCUGGUGCCGUAGGGAAGCCGUGAAGCGAGCCACCUGGGAAGUACGGUCGCAAGACUGAAACUUAAAGGAAUUGGCGGGGAGCACUACAACGGGUGGAGCCUGCGGUUUAAUUGGAUUCAACGCCGGA
rnacentral:rRNA from 1 species